rnacentral:rRNA from 1 species
UACGUAGGGCGCAAGCGUUGUCCGGAAUUAUUGGGCGUAAAGAGCUCGUAGGCGGCCUGUUGCGUCCGCUGUGAAAUCCCGGGGCUCAACCCCGGACUUGCAGUGGGUACGGGCAGACUAGAGUGUGGUAGGGGAGACUGGAAGUUCCUGGUGUAGCGGUGAAAUGCGCAGAUAUCAGGAGGAACACCGAUGGCGAAGGCAGGUCUCUGGGCCACUACUGACGCUGAGAGGCGAAAAGCAUGGGGGAGCGAACAGG